rnacentral:tRNA from 1 species
GGCCCCAUAGCUCAAUGGAUAGAGCGUGAGCCUCCGGAGCUUAAGAUGCAGGUUCGAUUCCUGCUGGGGUCACCA